rnacentral:lncRNA from 1 species
UGUUGUUAUGGCAACAGUGUUUCUAUCAAGAGAUUCAUAUGAACUACUAAACCCUUCUUGCACUUUUACCUGUUUUGGCAAUCUCAAGGGUCGGACAAAGACACUUCCACAGCAGCCUCCUUGCAACUUUUGAUUGCCAUGGAUAAGUGGAACUGGUAUCGAGUUCAUGUGUAACUCACUGCCAAGGGCUGUAUUUCCAUUUCCUUCUGCACACUGAAUUUGUGCUCCUGCAUUCCUCUAACAAGAGCCUCUGAAGGGAGGAGAUGCUUUGCUUCAUGUCACAGGACGCGCAGCCACACACACACAGAAAAUUAAAAGAUGCUUUCACUAACGUGGCCAUUACUCUCUGGAAUUGUGUCCAGUAAGCCUCUGCUCCCACGGGACCUCCCGUACAGCCACACCGGAGAGGUAGCUGCUUCCAGAAGCUGUAUUGUUCUCCUGCAAAGCUGUUCUGUUCCUACUCUGUGCUUCUGCAGAUAGUCUACAUCUGAUGUAUGAAGUUUGGGAAGACUUUUAAAAGACUUUGGGCUAAAUACCAGAUCUGGAAACUAUGAGGUAAGAUCAGUCUUCUAGUGCUUAUGGGUGUGUUUACAUUAUCUCAUAAAAAUAGGUGCUGAUUUCAGGUGCUGUCUGUAUGUGCAGCUAUAAUAAGAUUUCAGUUUGGAUUUUCAUUGGUCAGUUAUAUUAUUUGAUGUUCAAGAUGAGCUCCAAAGAUUAAUUUCUCUCCAUCUCCCGCAUCUCACACUGAGAUCCAUUUUUUUAUUGUUUUUUUUUUUCCAGCUCAGUCUUCAGGUUAUUUGAUAAUGCAGCUGCUGGUAUUCGCUCCAUGAAACCAAUUGUCUUAUGAGUUAAGUGCCAUGAGGCCCUGUGCUGGCUGUUUUUAUAAUGACAGUUUUCCUGGGAAAAUAGCAGCACACUUAGACUCAGAUUCACAAAUGCAUGCAAUUCAGAGCUUUAUACUACACAGUCAUUUGCAAAGAGAACAAAACAAAACAAAACCAGCCCAG